rnacentral:lncRNA from 1 species
CCAGCAGCCCCCCUUUUUUUUCAAAGGAUUGCAAACCCAUGUAGGGAUGAGGCCUGGUCUUAUGGAAACUGAACUUAGCUUCACGGGUAUAUAUAAUUAUGGUUCAGCCUGAGACAAGGU